rnacentral:lncRNA from 1 species
GUCUUUGUGACUGGCACUCAUGGACAGACAGUGGUGUUCAGGGACAGAACAGAUUUUGGAGGGGGUGGGGAGGCCAAUAAACCAAGAAACGUCAGAAAUAAAAGUCGCAUGAAGUACUCUGAUCUCUGUAUUUCCUUUUUUUUUUUUUUUUUUUUGAAAUUUGAUUUUAACUCUUGCUUUUUUUUAUGGUUUGUGUCUGUUUUUUCCACCCCCGCUGGCGCCGAGCUGCGCUGUUUUGUGUUUCUUUUUUUUUUUUUUUUUCUAUUUUUUUUUUUUAAAUUCUGAAGCCAGACCGUCUUUCCUCACAGCUCCACGGCUGCAUCUCCGUGGGCACGCAAGCUUCCCCUGGUUACCUGAGCUGCUCCUGCCGUCUCCCGCCUGGGCUUCGCCGUGGUGCACCCGAUCCCGGAAUCGUGCGUCUGCGCCCUGCGAAAGAAGGACCUGCUGGCGGAGCUCCGGCCGGGGUCUCCUGCCUCGCAGCUGGGCGAGGGGACUUGGAGGACAGGGUGAAGCUGCAGAAGACCUGGGGUGGGAUGGCUAGAGAGGACGCCAAGGACUGGGGAAGGGGAAGUUAGGAAUACCUUACAUCCAAUGCCCACCCGUGCUCCGCAGGGCAAGGGCAGCCGUCGCCUCGGCCGCGUGCACCCAGCUCAGGCUGUUCCCAGGGAUUUAGUCUGGGGGGACAACCCAUGGCGAGAUGUGGUGGCAUUUUACCUCAGAGUGGAGCUGAAGAUGGAUAAACAAGUUCUGGAGACCAGAAGGCCAAAAUCAAAAGUAUGGGCAGGCUUGAUUUCUUUAGAAGACUCCAGCGGAGAACUGUGUCUCCUUGCUUCUGAUUCUACAUCUCCAUCCAUGGGCCACUGUUUCAGCAACCUCAGCCAGUGCAACACAACCUCAGCCAAGAAGAGUAUGCAGAGAAAGGAGUCCCCUACCUGCCACAAAACUGUUGUCUGAAAACUGUCUCAUAUUGUCUCAAGUUGUCAUUCAUUGUGAAUUAGACCUGUUUAACAUGUAAUCUGCAACAUGCUUCACUGUCUAAUUUUCCAGAGCCCCUCAUAUAAGGAACUGUAUUAUUGGUAUAAUCAUCAUGGUGAAGAAGUUGGUAUGUGGGGGAGAGAUGACAGAAACAGAGAGUAAGUCAGAGCUGGCUGCCUGACAGAUAAAAAGGAAAUGACCAAAAAAAAAAAAAAAGACACAGAAGAAUACUUUGUUGUCCACACAGAAAAGGGAAGUGUAGGUAAGACAGCAGUAGACUAAGAUUCUUAAGACUCAAGUUCUAGUCUUAUUUAUUAGCUAUGGGAGGCCUUGAGGGAGUUCUAGAAUUAAGUGAUCUCUCUUUAUAAAAUAGGAACAGUAAUAACUUCCUGGCUAACUCCCUGGCUGUCUCACAAUGCUGUAGUAGUAAGAAAUAAUUUUAUAAUUAAAGACUAUUUUAGGGCUGAUUACAUUUUUGGGCAGUGGCUCAUACAUGUAAUUUCAACAUUUUGGGAGGCCAAGGUGGGCGGAUUGCUUGAGCCCAGGAAUUCAAGACCAGGCUGGGCAACACAGACCUUGUCACUACAAAAGAAAAAAACAUUAGCUAGGCGUGGUGAUGUAUGCCUGUGGUCCCAGCUACUCAGGAAGCUGAGACAGGAGGAUCACCUGAGCCUGGGAGGUCGAGGCUACAGUGAGCCAUGAUCACACUACUGCACUCCAGCCUGGGAAACAGAGUGAGACUCUGUCUCAAAAAAAAAAAAAAAGGAAUAUUUUACACUUCAAGGUUCUAUACAAAUGUAAAAUAUCAUUCUAUUACUUAUUUAUAAUGCUGAUUAUUCUUUAAAUGACUUUAAAAUGUUAAUCUCUGCUUGAGCCUACGGAGAAGUAUGUAACAAAUUUGUGAAGGAUUGGCAUUAAACAUAGUCAAAAUAAAACAUAGAAAUUAUGGUAAAUAAUUUAACUGGUAAAAUAAUCUAAGUGGUAGUUCUCAGGUAAGUGGAAAUUCGAUUAGCUGAUUGUUUAGGAUUCUUGGUUAUAAGUGACAGAGACCUGACUAAAAGUACAUGAAGCACAUAACUGAGAAGGUUGUGGUAUGGCUCAGCAGAAAUGGGAAAAUCUUGGGACUGGUUCGUGUUUUAUUUACAUUAUCUUUGUUCCCAGGCAGUCUCUGCAUGUAAGUGGCAAAGAUGACUGUCUGAAAAUAUAUACCUACUUUUUUAAAGGGCUAUCUCAAGCCAUUCUGGAGAAGCACCAAAAGCCACUUUGCUUAUACUGGGAGAAUAGUUUGCUUUCCCUAAUUUGUGAUGAGUGAAACACUGAACAGAGACAUAGAAUAAUAUUCUGUAGUUCAGGGUUGGUGUAAUAUGGCCAGUGGGCGGAAUCUGGUCCUCAGACUGAUUUUGCAAAUAAUCUUAUAGAAACACAGCAACACCCAUUCAUUACAUGUUGUUUAUGGUUGCUUUGGGGUUACAAUGGCAGAGUUGAGUAGUUGUGACAGAGAUCACUAGGCUCACCACAUCUGAGAUAUGUACUGACUGACCCUGUACAGAAAGUUUGCUGCUCUUAGAGGAAUGUGUGUUUCUAGUGUCAGCAAUAAACUUCUUGGAUUUGUUUUGUUUUCUCAUCUUUACAUGAUAGUUGCAGACUAGUUGAUCCUUGUGACCUGUUUUUGAAUGCCACUGUGUAUUCUGUCAGGGCCCUCUGAUUCUGUUUCUUAUGGUGCUGAAUGCACAAUUUAAUGCCCUGGAAUUUCCUUCUGUCUUCUGCUAAACUCAUGCCUCUUCAGAUAGUUAAAAUCCUGUUCUACCUUAGAAGUCUCCAGAGUUAUUUUCCUAAAUUAAGAAGAACUGGCUUUGAAGUUACUCAUUAUGCCACACACAAUGGUUGAAAAGAGCAUCUCUUAUGUACUGUGUAUAUUUCAGCAUCCACUCAGCUUCUUAGGUAGAAAAGGAAGAGUCUUCCACAGUGUAUUUUAUCCAUAUUUGGGUCAGAAACUCUUCUUUACCACGGAGCGUGAUGGAAGAAAGAUAUGGGAUGGUAACAGUAGGCCAGGGAUGUAAUAAUCACAAAAUUUGAGAUAUUUUGUGACUGGUGACUCACGCCUGUGAUCCCAGCAUUUUGGGAGGCCAAAGCGGGCGGAUCACCUGAGGUCAGGAGUUCAAGACCAGCUUGGCCAAUGUAGUGAAACCUCAUCUCUACUAAAAAAAUAUAAAAAUUAGCUGGGUGUGGUGGUGCACACCUGUAAUCCUAGCUACUCAGGAGGCUGAGGCAGGAGAAUAGCUUGAACCAAGGAGGUGGAGGUUGCAGUGAGCUGAGAUUGUGCCACCACUGCAUUCCAGUCUGGGUGACAGAGCGAGACUCUGUCUCAAAAAAAAAAAAAAAAAAAAUCUAGAAAAAGAUCUCCAAGAUUCAAUCAUCUAAUUAUUUCUUUUAAAAAUGAGAAAAAUGACUCCUGGUCAGCUUUUACCUUCUUUUUCCAACUGUCUUGACAAUACUUUCAUAUUGGGCUUUUAAAGUCUCAAGUAAUAGGUUUUUAAAACCUCAGCUGAUAAAAGUAUAAAAAUAAAGUUAAAACAUAUUAAAGACAAAACCCAAGAAUCAGCUUCCUCUUCCUUCAUUACUCUUGCAUGGGUGUUGGCUCUAAUUUCUCCAUCUAGUUAGGCAGUCCUUUGCUUUUUAUUGCUUGUUUAUUGAUGACAUUUGCCAUUUGUAGCAAUAGUAAUAGAAUCAUCUAUAUAUUUGUGGCCUUGUUGAAUGUAGAAAAAGGAUAGUGGCAUUUUCUAAUUGUGUAACCCUAUAACACCUUGACGGGGGACUACAGUUCAUAUGCUGGACCUUUUGUGUUUGUUCAUGGCGGGUGGGUUGCUUUAAUAUACUUAGCACAUUGUCCUAAUUGCCAUCCUUUUGGGGAGGGCUAUAUAUCCAAGCUAAUAUGGUAGCAUUUUUGUUUUAACAUAGAGCUGACCCAAGGUAGACGUAAGUGUUGUUCAUUUUUGCCUAAUACUAAUAAAAUUACCUAAUUGUUGAAGCUUGGAGCUUGAAUCUAGGCAUUUUAUUUCAUUUCAAGUACACCCUAGUAUUUUAAAGCAUAAAUAUCCUACUAUCCUCAACAACUUUAGAACAAAAAUAAAUAUUUUAACAAGAAAAAAGCAUGCCAUGACAAGCUGUAACUUAGUAAAGAAAGACAAGGAAUGGUCUCUAUAGACCGAGAAAAAAUAGGUCCUCAGAUAUAUUUAUACCAAAGGAAUGUUAUGAAUGUAAAAAACAGUUUGACUCCCCCCCCCCCGCCAAAAAAAAACUCCACAACCCUAUAUUUUGUUAUCACAAGACUGUUUUAGUGAAUAAAACAGUAUGAAUUGGUUUUACCUGUUUCCAUUUAAUACUUAUUAACUUUAUAAUCGUAUAGCCUGAGGGUUUUAACUUCAAGUACAGCAUGAUGACUAUAAUAGUUUUACACAAGGCAAAUGUGAAAAACAGAAGUAAUUUCUUUUAAAAAGUGUGAAAUAUCUAAAAGGUAUGACUUCAAUACAUCAACUCAGGUGAGACAGACAUGUAACUUCUUUUUCCAUGUUUAAACCUAAUAUUGCUUUUGUGCCUCUGAAGGCUCGGAGUUUCCAUGCCUUCUUAGGACAUGCCACCCUCUCCACACCUGGAUGUGUUCACCAACCCAGAAGCUCUUGGAACCCCAUCAUUUGGGGUUUUUAUGGAGUCCCCAUUAAGUAGGUAUGACUGAUUAAAUCACUGGCCAUUGGUGGUUGACUCAAUCUCCAGCCUCUCUUCCCUCUCUGAAGGUGAAGGGGUGGGAAGGUGAGGCUAAGUUCCAACCCUCGGAUCACAGGGUUGGUUCCUCUGCAACCAGGCUUCAUCGUGAAACAAUACAGGGCCCACCGAGAGUCACCCCAUUAGCAAACUCAGAUGUGAUUGAAAGGGGCUUAUUAUGAAUAUCAAAAGACAUUUCUCUUUCUCCUAUUACUCAGACAGUUACAAGGGUUUCAGAAGCUCUUGCACCAGGAACUGGGAACAAAGACCAAAUAUAUAUGUCUUCUUCUAUUACAAUGUCACAGGUGUGACAGAGUAGGUAAAUGGAGUCUCAGAGAGUCCCCAGAGUAUUCCAUGGAGCCACAAAAUGAAGAAUAAAUGGAUGGUUCUCCCCAUGAUCAAAAGUGGCCUGAAAAUACUUGAGAAUGAGUCAUAACUUAAAAGGCUGUAUAGUAGAAAAGAAUGCACAGAGGACCGAAUGUAAAAGAAGGCACCCCAGUCUCAGCUAGUGUGGAUGCAUGCCAGUGUAGAAAGAUGCUAGUGUGGCUACAUUGGUGCACUGAAGACCAAACUCCUGCAUGGCCCCACAUCCUUGAUACCUUAGAUCUAUAUCAUCCCCUAAAACUUAGGUGUUAUGACAUUCAGGAUAUGCUACCCCAUCAUUUUUUAGGCUGAAGGAAUUUGAGAAAACAGAAGCAGGAAUGUAAUUGCCCAGUGGGUUCUUCCUGCCCUGUGCACAGACAAAACCAGUUCACUGAGACCAUGGUAUUGCAGUUAAGAAAGAGUUUAACAGGAGGCUGGCCACAUGGAAGAAUUACAGUUAUUACAAAUUAGUCUCCCUGAAGGCUCAGAGGUCAGGGUUUUUCAUGGAUAGUUCGGUGAGCAGUGGAUUAGGGGUAAGUGCUGCUGAUUGGUUGGGGAUACAAUCAUAGGGGUGUGGAAAAUGGUCCUUGUGUGCUGAGUCACCUCUGGGUGGGAGGCCAUGGGACCCAUUGAGUCAUGAGUCACGAGGCUGGGUUGGGUCAGUGUGAAAAACAUCUCAAAAGACCAAUCUUAGGUUCAAAAUAGGUGAUAUUACCUGUAGGAGCAAUUGGGAAAGUUAUAAAUUAUAUGACCUCUUGGCCCCAUGACUUCUGAGCAGUAAGAGAUGAUAGAAACUAAACCUACAUUUUAUCAGCACUCAGGCCUCUUCCAUAAUCCUAAUCUUGUGGCCUUUCGUUAGUCUUAUAAAGGUGGUUUGGUAACUGCCCUCAAGCAAGGAGGGGAUCAGUUUUAGGGAGGUGCUAUUAUCAUCCUUGCUUCAAAGUUAAGCUGUAAACUAAAUUCCUCCCAUAAUUAGCUUGGCCUACACCCAGAAAUGAGCAAAGACAGCCAGCCUGUGAUGUUAGAAGCAAGAUGGAGUUAGUCAUGUUAGAUUUCUCUCACUGUCAUAAUCUUUGCAAGGGAGGUUCCAGGAAGGUCAUCCUACCUUUCCCCUCACCCUUCUCAUGUGACACAGGUCAUAAAGCCUAGGAAGGAUUUUCCGACCUUUCCCUGAAGCAGGUCGUAAGACCCUCAUUGGGGAGGUGCCAUUUCUAGACCAAGAGAAAAGGCACAUCCUUAUGUCUGAAGACACAGGGACACAGAGAAGAAUCUGAACAAACAGGUCUUGCUAAGUUCCCCCCAGUUUGUUUUCAUUAGAUCAUGCCCCUUUAUUCAAUGCUGUUUCUCCACAACUAUCCAUUUCUUCAUCAAGCCUAGCAUAAAAAAUACAGGUUUCACGGUUUCUUUGGGUCUUCAUUUCCUUAUAAAGUCUCCUGUACCAUGUAAAACUUAAAUAAGUUUCUCUGCUUUUCUCUUGUUGAUUCUGUCCUUUGUUUUAUAACCCUCAGACAUGAACCUAGUGAUGAGUGAGGGGAAGAUAAUUUAUUUUCCUCUACAGAUGCAAAAGGGAAAAGGGAACAAUCCCUAAACGGAAGUUAUGAUCCAGGGAUCAGAGGCUCAAAAGCAAGAUUAGGUUUAAAUGUAGAAAAAUACAUUCCUCUUUCAUUUUAGAUAUCCCAAAUGCCCAAAUCAACCCAGCUAUUUCUCAGAAGUCUGUUUCCCCUCCACCCUCUGCUCCUCUGUGUAGUGAAACUGUCUCGUUUGGGAGUAAAAUGGCCUGGCUUUCCUUACUGAGUAUACUCUCAAGACUAUUGCCUAUUACUUUUUUCCAUUCCUUCUUGAGAACUACGCUUUUUAAAACAAGAAUUGACUCCAUUUAUCUUUUUCUUUUAGCCUUCUGCUGGGGUAUGCCUUCUCUAAAGCAAUGAAUAAAAAAUGCUUUAGCUGAAUAAAUGGGGCAAGGAUCAAGGAGUACAAGCUAAUAUUUCACAAUAUUAUCCUGCCAUAAAUAAAAGUAUGGUUUAAAUGACAAUGGUGGGGUUAGGAGUUACAGGUCACUGAAACACCACCUUAUUCAUGCUACCAGCCCCUUGGCUUUCCUGAUGGCAGCAGGGAAGCAACACAUAGGUAGAAUUAUGAGCCAACAUCGUGACUGGAGAGGGAUUGAAAAUCUUAUUUGUUGUCUUCCUAGACUAUUACAGUUAUCUGUUGAAAUUAGACUCAAUUCUUUGGCGAAAGUACUCAUUUUUAAGGUCCAUAAUAAAUUGUAACUAUGUAGCCUUUGUUGCAUGAGUUUAGUAUGAGCUGAUUGGUGGGCCACAGUGAAAGGCAGAGGGAAAUGGAUGUUAACUAAGAGGUAGAAGUCCCCUUGAAGUUCUGACCCUGUCACUAAUGAAGUCUUUAUUUCCGUAUUUAGUAAUUGCCUUUUUUUUUUUUUUUUGAGACAGAGUCUUGCUCUGUCGCCAGGAUGGGGUACAGUGGCACAGUAUCUGCUCACUGCAACCUCCGCCUCCCAGGUUCAAGCAGUUCCCCUGCCUCAGCUUCCUGAAUAGCUGGGACUACAGGUGUCUGCCGCCAUGCCUGGCUAAUUUUUGUAUUUUUAGUAGAGACGGGGUUUCACUAUGUUGGCCAGGAUGGUCUCGAUCUCCUGACCUCGUGAUCUGCCCACCUCAGCCUCCCAAAGCUAGGAUUACAGACGUGAGCCACCAUGCCCGGCCAACUGCCUUCUUUAUAUCUCAUUUUAAAAAUUUAUAACAAAGAAGUGGGUUGAUUUUCAAGACCUAGUUGUGUUAGUUUGAAUGAGAUGCAUACAUUUGGCAAGUCUGGGGUCUAAGAAAAGAUAAAGAUCUGAAUGCUGAAAAUCUAGAGAAUUCAGGUUACUGGGGGAUAACUUAAAGUCACUAGGGAAUUCGGGUUACUGGGGGGAUAACUUAAGGUCACUAGGGAAUUCGGGUUACUGGGGGGAUAACUUAAGGUCACUAGAACCCAAAUGCAGGGAAGAGUUGGGUGCUCUUUGGCAAAUAAACAUUCCUGACUUAGCAUUUUUCUUAAACCCGAACGUGCCAGCUGUUUUUUUGUUUUUUUGUUUUUUUGUUUUGUGACCUCAGCCAGGCUUGCGUGUUUAUUCAUCACAUAUUCUAAGCUCAUAUACAACUGUGACCUGAUCCAGCCUUCAAGGAACUCACUCUUGAUUUUAGGAAUCUUUCCACCACUUCGAUUUCAUCUUACUCCUGAAACAGUCAGCCAGAACUGUCUAAUUCAGUCUAUACUUCUGAUACAAAACUCUACCCAGCAACCACUAUGGUUUUGUUGCUUUAGGUACGUGUUAGAAAGCACCCACAUCAAUUUACAGAAAAUCCUUAACUGAAUCUCUAGUCCCAGAGGAGUCAUAUUUUAUUAUAUGGUGCUUUUUAUUUAAAGAGAUCGGUUUAAUAGAAAUUACUCAGGCAUUUGAAGUGAUAGCUUUAAAAUGUGGGACUGGGGAAAAUAAGAACACUUGACCUCUCUCCAUAAAAUUGAAUUGUUCUUUAGGUUUAAAGUUUUGACAGACAAAGAGAAAGUGAGAGCAAGUGAGGGUGAAAAUAUAUCCUUAUUUGGUAAUGAGUACCCAUUAAGAGGACAGUAUAUUACAUUUCAUCUUCUUACUUCACAUUCCUGUUUUAAGGAUUUGUGAGCAAAGUGCUGUGAGACCUCUAGAGUUAAGAGGCUGGAGAUAGGUAGUUUUGAUGGUAUUUUAAGGAGUGCUCCAUAAUGUGUAGUGUCUGAGUGCUGAAGCUUAAUCAGCUUCAAUUAAAUCCAAAACAUACUGAAUAGCUCCUAUGUGUCUGGCAUUGAGCUGUGUGCCAAAGUGGUGGAAAGAUGUAAGAGCCACUGAGGCUUAGAGAUGAAAAGGAUCUUGGAGCCACUGGUUUCCUGCCUGCUGGAGUUUCACCAUCAAGGACCCUUUCGUUAUUUUCCUUCUCCCAUGCAUUUUAUUAAAAUUUUUGGUUUAGUAAACCAAAUUCACUAAUGGGAUGUUAUUUUCAUAUCAAAGAGUAUAAUUCUGCCAAUCAAGGCUUCUGAUCAGCAUAAAAUAAUUAGGUUUCAUACUGAAUGCACAAAUUCUAGUCAAAAGCAAAGCCAUUUGAUGACAUGUCUGCUAUGUUGCCAUUUGCUUUAAGAGAGGUAAAGGUAGCCUGACUUCUGUUCACUCUGUAGUACAGAAUACAUUGUUAACAAGUCAUAGGUAUGUUCUUUUAGGUUUCUAAUUACUGUCAGCCUCUCAUUUCAGACAGGUGAUGUGAUAAGGUGAAAUGAUUACUAUAUUUAGACUCAAAAGUCCUGAGUUUGAGUCCUCGUUUAACGAUCUAGUCCAUGAGCUUCAGUUUUCUCACCUGUUAAAUGGAAAUGAUGAUUAUUUCCUGGAAAUUGCAUUUCCAGGUUGUUUUGAAUGAUAAAUGAUAUGGUGUAUAUAUCAGCUGUUUGCAAACCAGAAAAAGCUAUUCUAUGGUAAACACAUGCAGUGGGCUGAAUUGUGUCUCCCAAAAUUCAUAUGUUGAAGUCCUCACCCCCAGGGCCUCAGAAUGUGACUGUAUUUGGAUCUAGGGUCUUCAAGAGAUAACUAAGUUAGAAUGAGGUCAUUUGGGUUGAUCCUAAUCCAACUGACUGAUAUCCUUAUAAGACGACGAAAUUUGGAUACAGAAAUACACAGAAGACAGGGAGAAGAUGGCCAUCUACAAGCUAAGGAGAGAGGCCUCAGAAGAAACACACCUGCCACACCUUGAAUUUGGACUUCUAGCCAUCAGAACUGUGGGAAAAUAAAUUUCUGUUGUUUAAGCCAGGAGUCCUCAACCCCCGGGCUGUGGACCUGUACCAGUCGGUGGCAUGUUAAGGACUGGGCUCCACAGCAGGAGGUGAGUGGUGGGCGAGUGAGCAUUACUGCCUGAGCUCCACCUCCCGUCAGAUCAGCAGUGGCAUUAGAUUCUCAUAGGAGCACAAACCCUAUUGUAAACUGAGCACGCAAGGGAUCUAGGUUGUGCGCUCCUUACGAGAAUCUAAUGCCUGAUAAUCUGAGAUUGAACAGUUUUAUCCCCAAACCAUCCCCUCCACCACCCCCGUGGUCUGUGGAAAAAUUGUCUUCCACAAAACUGGUCCCUGGUGCCGAAAAGGUUAGGGACCAGCGGCUCAAGCCACCCAGCCUGUGGUACUUUGUUACGGUAGCCCUGGCAAAUGAAUACAACACGUUUUAGACUAUGAUGUUACACAUGCAGUGUGUUGAGAGCCAAAGAACCCAAAUGAUUCGUGGUAUCUGCCCUUGAAGAGUUUUUAAUCUUUUUGGGCAUGAUGAAACAUACACAUGGAAAAUAAAAUAGCAUAUAACCAAGUGCCCAAAUCAGUAAUAAAUACAGUUGACUCCAUAAACAUUUAGGAACCUUCUAUCCCAUGUUUCCACAUUCUAUCCCAGUGGCUUUUGCCACUAAAUUUCUUCACCCACUAUUAGACUGAUGUUUUCAUCUUUCAGUAUCAGACUCAAGCUUUAAUCUAGAAAGAGGGGGUGGGGGGAUAAAUGCUAUACUUUGGAACCAGUCCGGAUAUUUUAAGUAUGUUUUUAAAAAGUAUAAUCCUCACAACAUGAAAGUUAUUAGUUCUAUUUUUCAGGUGAGAAGAGUUAAGGUCAAACAGACGAAAGCUAGUUAGUGGAGGGACUGGUAUUCCAAGCCCAUUCUGGUUAAACUAAAUCUUGUGUUCUUUCCACUAGAAAACUGCUUUUUGUCUUAAUUAUAAUUUUGUGACAAGGAUGUAUAGUCCAUUAAGGAAUAUAUACAACAGAAGAAGCAUUUAAGUGGACUUGAGGUUUGUGAAUCUGAACUAGUUUCUAUCGACUUUCACAUCAGCAGCUCCUAUUCUGGGGAAAGAGAAUGGAGGCUGGGAGUGAUCCUGACAAACCUUGAUGUGCAGGCUUGUGGAGAAACUGGAUUCACACCCAGGCUCGUGGAGUGUGGGAGAGGCUGGCCUGUCACAAUAUCAGGACAGCCUCUCUUAAUAACACUGCAGAAGGAAUCGAGGGCCCUGUGGUUUGCGGUCAGUGUGCCUCUUGUGCCAACUUUGGCACUACAAUGUCUUCAAUCACAUUAUCUUCCAAACCGGCUCUUCAUCCUAUGUCCUUAUUUCUGCUAAUGGUAUUCAUUUCUCUUAUUCAUGGACUCUGGGAAUCUUGGUGGUAUUAAAACCUGUCUCUUCUUUCCCCCUCGAUCUUCCACAUUCCAUUUCCUUUCAGCAGAAUCCCAAGCCUUCACCAUUUUUCAUUUUUGGUGCUGUUUCAGAGUUGCUGUGAACUUUACCUGGGUCCUCUAUCACCUUACCCAGCCAUUUGUCAUUCUGCCUGGUAAAGGGUUGAGCAGAUUUAUCUAUAUGAAUGAUCUUAUUUAAGCUAUUCUGUACACCUUCUGCUACUUAAACAGGCUCUAUGCUUCCACAUCUGCUCUCUAUCUGCCUAUGUGACUCAAACUUCAAUUGUCCAUCUCAGACAUCACAUCCUCCAUGAAGCCCUCUUGGGUUAUUUGAAGUAAUCUCUCUUCUGGGCUCUCAUAGCAUUACUGCUUGUAACUCUUUCAAAAGAUGAAUUUUGUGCUGUUGUUUACUUAAUGAGUACAAAUUUAGUGAUAAAUUUGAAAAACUUGUGUCCAUGUUUGAUAAAUAUGAAAAUCUCAUCAUUUUCAAUAUUUCUUAGAAUUUCAAAAUGUACUAAAUAUUAUUAAAAACCAAUCAUGGCAAUUUUAACAUUGAGUAUUCUUUUUUGAAAUAUGAAUGCUCCUCUCUCAAGACUGGUAUACUUUCUCACUCUACUCCCUUUUCAAGUGCCCUUAUCGAACUUUGCUGAUGAAAUCAUCUUUUCUUAGUUUGUUAGACUUUGGAUGGUGGAGACCUGUGCCUGCUACUUCUCUCAUCUCCUGAUACCUAAUGCAUAGUGUUCAGUAAGUAUUUAUUUGGUGAUAACAAUAUCAAAAACUAGAUAAUGCUUAGAAGAUCCAACACCUUCCAAAAUCUCUGUUAACCAGGUACUGAAAUAUGGUCAACCAGAUGAGCUGAAAUGUCAAGAACUUAUAGACACACAUGGUUUCAUGGUUGUGAAACUAGAAGAUGUGGCAUAUUUUACACAAUGGAGGGAAGAGCAAAGGUUAUGCAUGUGCGGAGGCAGAGCCCCUAGGCAGGUUUCCCUCUUUUCCUUCCUGUGCACUGAUUUUUAUUUUGGUGAACUGAAACAGGGGUCUAACAAACUGGUAUCUCAUUUGUCUUUAUAAACAGAACUGCCAGAUUGGCUUUGCAAUUCAGGGCCCUGUAGGGUGCCCACCUCCUCAGUUUGGGCAGCAGCAUUACAUCUGAGUCUUAGAAUAAAAAUGGAAAGCAAUGGCUCAACCCAUUGGUUUGUCACCAUCCACAUGAAGGAUCUCUAUUGGUAAAAAAACAGACUCCCGUGUUCAAGGCCCUGGGGCUGGAAUCAAAUCCAUCAUUCAUUUAUUUCGGUUUUUUAAGGCUAAAUACAUAGGGAAGAAAAUGAAAUGUGAGAAAGCUGUGCAUUUUCAAUGUCAUCUUGAAAGUGAGUAUCUUUAGACACAUAAAGUAGAUGAGUGGUUAACUUGGGCUGGGAGAGGGAGUGAGGAGUGGUUGUACAUGGCACAAGGUUUCUAUUUAGUGUGAUUGAAAUGUUCUAUAAUUUGAUUGAUGAUUGUACAGUUCUGUAAAUAAACUAAAAUGUAUUGAAUUGUAUAAUUAAAACAUGCAGAUUUUAUAUUUAAAAUAUACUUUGAUAAAAGUGUUUUAAAAAUGAAUAUCUCAUAGGGUAGAAUGAAAUGAAUAAGAGAAACAGUGAGGCAUCCAGGGGACUUUCUGCACAGUGGGUCUGUCAUUAGGCAGGUACGUUGCCACAGCCAGUUCUAAUGCCCACUCAUAGGCCAAUGCCUAGGACAAUUGCUCAGAUAUCGCCUCUGACAGGCA